CUCAAUCUUGACAAAAGUCCUUGCCCCUGAAAAACAUCCCCACUGCAUUAUGCUGCUACCACCAUGCUUCACCGUAGGGAUGGUAUUGACCAGGUGAUGAGGGGCAACCUGGUUUCUUCCAGACGUGACGCAUGGCAAUCAGGUCAACAUUGACCUUUGUUUCAUCUGACCAGAGAAUCUUGUUUCUCAAGGUCAGAGAGUCCUUUAUACCAUAAAAGCCUGAUUGGUGGAGUAAUGUAUGCUUGUCCUAAUUGAAGGUUCUCCCAUCUCCUCACAGGAACUCUGAAGAUCUGUCUGGGUGGUCAUCAGGCUCUUGGUCACCUACCUACGUAACCAAUGCUGUUCUCCCCUGAUUGCUCAGUUUCGCUGGGUGCGAGCUCUAGGGAGAGUGUUGGUUGUUCUUGUGGACCUUCAAUGCUGCAGAGAUGAUUUGGUGCCCUUCUCAAAUCUGUCCCUCGACAAAAUUAUGUCUUUGAUUGCUAUGGACAAUUCCUUCGACCUUAUGGCCUGGCUUUGCGCUGACAUGAACUGUCAACAGUAGGAACUUUUAUAGACAGGUUUUCACAAGGUCUGCGGUUGCAACAGAUUGACAUUAUGACUGAUGACAUAGAAGGGAGCACAGCAACCUUGUCAAAGAUGACCAACAAUGUCAGAGAGGCCUGUGUAAUGGCAAUGCAGAACCAGAGAAGACAAAACGUACAGAACAUAGGGGGGCAAAGACUGUUUGCAGGCACAGAAAGGAAGCAGAGCUACAUUCUAUUAAAAUAGUAAACUCCAUUAAAUCACAUCCCAGGAACACCUGGCUGUUCGCUACCCUCUGCCAAGAUAUGGGCUCGGAACAUGAAGCCCUGCUGUUCGGUACAGAGAUCAGGUGGCUUUCACGGGGGAAAGUUCGCACCCGCCUGUUUGAGUUGUGUGAUGAGCGCAUUUUCCUGAUUGAGUCUGGGUCCCAACUCGCGGACCACCUGACAGAUCCCAAAUGGCCUUCUGAAUACGUUUAUGAAGUACUUCCCAGAUGAGACAACUCCACAACGAUAUGACUGGAUACAACAACUGUUCACGCAAACUGGGAUCACCUGUCAUCCGACCUGGAGGACGGGCUGAUGGAGCUGUCCAGUGAUCGGACCUUAAAGGCAAUGUUCGCCACAAUGACACUGAAUUCUGGAUUUCAGUUGCAGAGGAACACUGAUGACUAUCCAAUCCAAAGCAUUGAUGGAUGUACUGAUUCCGUUUGGAUCAACCUAUUUACAUGAGGCAACAUUAUCCACAAUGACAUAUAUUUAAAACAAAUACACAUCACCACUGGCGUAGCGUGGUGACGCUGGGCUGGGGUGCAAGCUGUUGUAAAGGCCCCCUUGUUUUUGGGGGUCACGAGUGAAAAGGUUUAAGAACCCCUGCCUUAAUAGAAAGUUUUACCACUUUACAUCAGCAGUUAUCACACAGUGUUAUACAGACAGCUCAAAUCUUUUACCAAGCGAUAGAGAUGCAGAAAAUACAGUGGCUAGCAAAGAAUUGUUAGAAAGUCAGUAACCAAUGAAGAAACUUAUUGAGGAACCAGGCUGUGGUGUUGCCAGGCUGGGCCCGCAUGAGGUUUUGCAAGUACAUGGCUAUGAAGGGAAAUUACCAUUUUAGUGUCUGUUUUACUACCUAGUGUUUGUCCAUUUGCUAACUAGCCCUAUUGUCAAGUCUUGGCAAAAGCAUCUCAAAGGAUGAUAACAAGAGUUUGGUGAUGUCAAAAUGAUUCAAGUGGUAUCCCUGAGGACAUCCAACUCUAAGGAAGUAGAUACUGCUACAAUGCCAAUAUCGCUUAAAAGUUUACUUCAGAAUAAGAAUGAAUUGUAACUUCAGAAUGAACCAUGGCACCACAAAUUAUGGUGCAUACCUUCCCUACAAACACAAGAACGGCAGAAGGGGGUCCAGGAAGGUCUGGCAUAUGAGGCCUAAUUUUUACACUCAAAUAAAUAUAAAACAUUAUUUAACAUGCUAUUAUACAAAUUAUAAUUUGGUUGAUAUUAAGGUUUUCGGUAUCACUCAAAUACAAAACAUGUAUUACUUUAAAUAACAAAAUAGCUUUUUCAAGCCUGGUCUGACCCA